AUACGCACUAAGGUGGAAAGUGGGGGAUUCGCAAGAACCUCAUGCUCAUGGAGUGGCCGAUAUCUGAUUAGCUAGUUGGUGAGGUAAAGGCUCACCAAGGCAACGAUCAGUAGGCUGGUUUUGAGAGAACGACCAGCCACACUGGAACUGAGACACGGUCCAGACUCCUACGGGAGGCAGCAGUGGGGAAUUUUGGACAAUGGGGGCAACCCUGAUCCAGCAAUGCCGCGUGAGUGAAGAAGGCCUUCGGGUUGUAAAGCUCUUUUGUCAGGGAAGAAACGGUGAGAGCUAAUAUCUCUUGCUAAUGACGGUACCUGAAGAAUAAGCACCGGCUAACUACGUG
rnacentral:rRNA from 1 species